rnacentral:rRNA from 1 species
GACGAACGCUGGCGGCGUGCUUAAUACAUGCAAGUCGAACGGACAGGCCCUGCUCUUGCGGGGCGCUCGAGAGGCGAACGGGUGAGUAACACGCGUGUAUCCCCUCCCUGACUUUGGGAUAACACUAGGAAACUGGGGCUAUUAUCGCAUAGGAGCUCUUGCUGCACGGUGGGGGAUGGUAAGUUACGGCGGUUGGGGAUAGAAUGGCGGCUUAUCCGCUUGUUUGUGAGGUAGUGGCUUACCAAGGUUGUGACGGGUAGGCGGCCUGAGCGGUGGGCCAGCCUCAUGAGGACUAAGAGACGGCCCAGUCGCCUACGGGAGGCAGCAGUGGAGAGUAUUGCGCAGUGGGCGGAAGCCUGAUACGACGACUCCGCGUGCGGAAUAACGUCCUUCGAGUGAUAAACCACUUUCGCCUGUGACGAGGCGUGAGUGACGGUAAUGAAUAAGAAAGCACCGGCUAACUACGUG